rnacentral:snRNA from 1 species
UAGCAACUGUUCUUUAGACGACU